rnacentral:rRNA from 1 species
AUGAACGCUGGCGGCGUGCCUAAUACAUGCAAGUCGAGCGAACAGACGAGGAGCUUGCUCCUUCGACGUUAGCGGCGGACGGGUGAGUAACACGUAGGCAACCUACCUAUAAGACUGGGAUAACUUCGGGAAACCGGAGCUAAUACCGGAUAAUAUUUCGAACCGCAUGGUUCGAUAGUGAAAGAUGGCUUUGCUAUAACUUAUAGAUGGACCUGCGCCGUAUUAGCUAGUUGGUAAGGUAACGGCUUACCAAGGCAACGAUACGUAGCCGACAUGAGAGGCUGAUCGGCCACACGUGAACUGAGACACGGUCCAGACUCCUACGGGAGGCAGCAGUAGGGAAUCUUCCGCAAUGGGCGAAAGCCUGACGGAGCAACACCGCGUGAGUGAUGAAGGUCUUCGGAUCGUAAAACUCUGUUAUUGGGAAAGAACAAACGUGUAAUAAACUGUGCACGUCUUGACGGUACCUAAUCAGAAAGCCACGGCUAACUACGUG